GAUGAACGCUAGCUACAGGCUUAACACAUGCAAGUCGAGGGGUAACGAGAGGAAAGCUUGCUUUCCUUGUCGACGACCGGCGCACGGGUGAGUAACGCGUAUCCAACCUGCCCCCAACUAGGGAAUAACCUUGCGAAAGUAAGACUAAUACCCUAUAAUUUCCUCAGAUGCCAUCUGACGAGGAAUAAAGAUUUAUCGGUUGUGGAUGGGGAUGCGUCUGAUUAGCUUGUUGGCGGGGUAACGGCCCACCAAGGCAACGAUCAGUAGGGGUUCUGGGAGGAAGGUCCCCCACAUUGGAACUGAGACACGGUCCAAACUCCUACGGGAGGCAGCAGGUAGGAAUAUUGGUCAAUGGGCGGAAGCUUGAACCAGCCAAGUAGCGUGCAGGAUGACGGCCCUAUGGGUUGUAAACUGCUUCUAUACAGGAAUAAAGUUAGCCACGUGUGGUUAUUUGUAGGUACUGUAUGAGUAAGGACCGGCUAAUUCCGUGCCAGCCGCCGCAGUAA
rnacentral:rRNA from 1 species